GACGAACGCUGGCGGCGUGCUUAACACAUGCAAGUCGAACGGAAAGGCCCUGCUUUUGUGGGGUGAUCGAGUGGCGAUCGGGUGAGUAACACGUGAGUAACCUGCCCUUGACUUUGGGAUAACUUCAGGAAACUGGGGCUAAUACCGGAUAGGAGCUCCUGCUGCAUGGUGGGGGUUGGAAAGUUUCGGCUGUUGUGGAUGGACUCGCGGCUUAUCAGCUUGUUGGUUGGGUAGUGGCUGACCAAGGCUUUGGCGGGUAGCCGGCCUGAGAGGGUGGCCGGCCACAUUGGGACUGAGGUACGGCCCAGACUCGUACGGGAGGCAGCAGGGGGGAAUAUUGCACAAUGAGCCGAAGCCUGAUGCGACAACGCCGGGGGCGUGAUGACGGCCUUCGGGGUAUAAACCGCUGUCGCCUGUGACGAAGCGUGAGUGACGGUAAUGGGUAAAGAAGCACCGGCUAACUACGUG
rnacentral:rRNA from 1 species